UAAACCAUAGUCAAUAUUAUGACGUAUGAGUUGCAUUCAUAAAGAGUUUUUUAAACUGGUUUAAAA
rnacentral:tRNA from 3 species